rnacentral:rRNA from 1 species
UUGACGGGACCCGCACAAGCGGUGGAUGAUGUGGUUUAAUUCGAUGCAACGCGAAAACCUUACCCACCUUUGACAUGUACGGAAUCCUUUAGAGAUAGAGGAGUGCUCGAAAGAGAACCGUAACACAGGUGCUGCAUGGCUGUCGUCAGCUCGUGUCGUGAGAUGUUGGGUUAAGUCCCGCAACGAGCGCAACCCUUAUCCCCAGUUGCCAUCAGGUAAAGCUGGGGAACUCUGGGGAGACUGCCGGUGAUAAACCGGAGGAAGGCGGGGAUGACGUCAAGUCCUCAUGGCCCUUACAUCCCGGGCUACACACGUGCUACAAUGGCAGGUACAGAGGGCUGCGAAGCCGCGAGGUGGAGCGAAUCCCAGAAAACCUGUCUCAGUCCGGAUUGAAGUCUGCAACUCGACUUCAUGAAGGCGGAAUCGCUAGUAACCGCGAAUCAGCAGGUCGCGGUGAAUACGUUCCCGGGCCUU